UGUGUUGAAAAGGAAAAAAUGCCCGUAGAAAAGGGGCUUGUAAAAUACACUUAUGUAAUAGAAGAAGUAGUGUAUUGCAAAGUUGUUUUUCCUUACUGCUUGUCUGGGUAUUUAUUGUAUGCUUCCGCAUUCUCUUAAUGAAAAGAUAAAAGAAACGGGACGGCGACGCGCCUAAAAUGUCGUAUUAAUAACCCCGAGGUUAGGAUGUGACAUUUUUAUAACUUAUCGAUUAGAAAACUAGUUGGAUAAUGUUUCUAUCUUAUUAAAGAUCGAGGAAAACAUGACUCUGUUGAGAUACUUGAAUAAUAUUUUUAUUUCAAGUGUUAUGAUCCAUUUGCUACUCGCACAUCAAUGAAUGUGCUUCAAUUCAUGGUAUUUACUCGACUCUUGAACCACCAUGGAAAUUGCUUCUCAUGCCUUUCUCCUACCUCUCUCUAUGGAUCUCCCUAGUCCCUUUUGAGUUCCCCCAUAUGCAUGCCAUAGUUUGCCCAAACAACAAACAUUUACUUAGCAGAAUGAACAAAACAACCCAUCUUUUACACUUGAAAAAUAUCAAAUUUGAGUGGUCUCACUCUCGAAAAUUUCUCGACAUAUUAUUUUAGCCUACGCAAGAACCUCUCAAUUGAAUGCACAGACCGAAAUUGCACGCUUUGGUAACAAAUUUGCAAAGUGUAGAAACAACUUUACCUCUAAUACGAAGAACACGUCCAAUCUGUGGAAGAUUUGCAAUUGCAUCAUCUUUCUUCUCCUCUUUGAAUAUAUUCCCUCAGAACAGUUCACUUGUCCUCUCAGGAGCUUUUGUGCCCCGCACCAAUUCAAAAACAUACAUCUUUUCACUUUUAACUUUAAGCCAAAUAUCCUAUGGGUUUUGUCUUCUUCU